rnacentral:rRNA from 1 species
CCUACGGGCGGCAGCAGUGGGGAAUAUUGCACAAUGGGGGAAACCCUGAUGCAGCGACGCCGCGUGAGUGAAGAAGUAUUUCGGUAUGUAAACCUCUAUCAGCAGGGAAGAAAAUGACGGUACCUGACUAAGAAGCCCCGGCUAACUACGUGCCAGCAGCCGCGGUAAUACGUAGGGGGCAAGCGUUAUCCGGAUUUACUGGGUGUAAAGGGAGCGUAGACGGUGAAGCAAGUCUGAUGUGAAAGGCCGGAGCGCAACUGCGGGACUGCAUUGGAAACUGUUGAACUGGAUUACAGGAGAGGUAAGUGGAAUUCCUAGUGUAGCGGUGAAAUGCGUAGAUAUUAGGAGGAACACCAGUGGCGAAGGCGGCUUACUGGACUUUAACUGACGUUGAGGCUCGAAAGCGUGGGGAGCAAACAGGAUUAGAUACCCGUGUAGUC